rnacentral:rRNA from 1 species
UGCGCAGGCGGGUUUGUAAGUCAGUGGUGAAAUCCUGCCGCUUAACGGUAGAAUUGCCAUUGAUACUGCGAAUCUUGAGUAUGGUUGAGGUAGGCGGAAUGUGUAGUGUAGCGGUGAAAUGCAUAGAUAUUACACAGAACUCCGAUUGCGAAGGCAGCUUACUAAGCCAUAACUGACGCUGAGGUACGAAAGCGUGGGGAGCGAACAGGAUUAGAUACCCUGGUAGUCC